UACGUAGGGUGCAAGCGUUAUCCGGAAUUAUUGGGCGUAAAGAGCUCGUAGGCGGUUUGUCGCGUCUGCUGUGAAAACCCGAGGCUCAACCUCGGGCCUGCAGUGGGUACGGGCAGACUAGAGUUCGGUAGGGGGAGACUGGAAUUCCUGGUGUAGCGGUGAAAUGCGCAGAUAUCAGGAGGAACACCAGUGGCGAAGGCGGCUCCUGGACCGGUUCUGACACUGAGGAGCGGAAAGCGUGGGGAGCGAGUCCGG
rnacentral:rRNA from 1 species